rnacentral:tRNA from 1 species
GCCCCGGUAGCUCAGGGGAUAGAGCGUCCGCCUCCUAAGCGGAAGGUCCCGCGUUCGAAUCGCGGCCGGGGUACCA